CGUGGGAACGUGCCUUCCGGUUCGGAAUAACCCUGGGAAACUAGGGCUAAUACCGGAUACGCCCUUAUGGGGAAAGGUUUACUGCCGGAAGAUCGGCCCGCGUCUGAUUAGCUAGUUGGUGGGGUAACGGCCUACCAAGGCGACGAUCAGUAGCUGGUCUGAGAGGAUGAUCAGCCACACUGGGACUGAGACACGGCCCAGACUCCUACGGGAGGCAGCAGUGGGGAAUAUUGGACAAUGGGCGCAAGCCUGAUCCAGCCAUGCCGCGUGAGUGAUGAAGGCCUUAGGGUUGUAAAGCUCUUUUAUCCGGGACGAUAAUGACGGUACCGGAGGAAUAAGCCCCGGCUAACUUCGUGCCAGCAGCCGCGGUAAUACGAAGGGGGCUAGCGUUGCUCGGAAUCACUGGGCGUAAAGGGCGCGUAGGCGGCGUUUUAAGUCGGGGGUGAAAGCCUGUGGCUCAACCACAGAAUG
rnacentral:rRNA from 1 species